GAUGAACGCUGGCGGCGUGCCUAAUACAUGCAAGUCGAGCGAACGGACGAGAAGCUUGCUUUUCUGAUGUUAGCGGCGGACGGGUGAGUAACACGUGGAUAACCUACCUAUAAUACUGGGAUAACUUCGGGAAACCGGAGCUAAUACCGGAUAAUAUUUUGAACCGCAUGGUUCAAAAGUGAAAGACGGACUUGCUGUCACUUAUAGAUGGAUCCGCGCUGCAUUAGCUAGUUGGUAAGGUAACGGCUUACCAAGGCAACGAUGCAUAGCGGAGCUGAGAGGGGGAUCGGCCCCACUGGAACUGAGACACGGUCCAGACUCCUACGGGAGGCGGCAGUAGGGAGUCUUACGCUAGUGGCGGAAGCCGGACGGAGCAACGCCACGUGGGGUGUGGAGGGCUUGUGAUCGUGAAACUCUGUUAUUAGGGAAGAACAUAUGUGUAAGUAACUGGGCACAUCUUGACGGUACCUAAUGAGAAAGCCACGGCUAACUACGUG
rnacentral:rRNA from 1 species